CCAGCUCUGAGAGGACUUGGUCUGGC
rnacentral:piRNA from 1 species